UAAGGCUAUGUCCUAGAGUAGAGAAGGGAAGUGGGUCACAGAGAUGUAAGGGACUAGGGGCUAUGUAGCUCUCUGUGAGAGGUGUGAGCGAGAGAUUUAGCUGAGAGAUUGAGAGCUCUCUCCUUUGUUGUUCCUCUCUCUCUAUUUUCUGUAUUUCCUCUUGUAGUAUAUGAGAUAAAUCUGAGAGUGAGAGUGAAACUUUGUAUCUGUAUUUGUAUCUCUCCAUACAGUAAAAUCGCUGCCACCCGAGGACAUAGGCAAUAUUGUCGAAUCUCGUAAAUCUAUGUGUUUGUAUUACGUGGUUGUGGAUUUGUUAGUGUGGGUGAUUUGUGUAUGCUAUAGGUGGUUGAUUUCGGCAUAACAAUUGGUAUCAGAGCCCAGGUCGAGUUUUGGACCUCUGUAAAAGUGCUUGAAAUUAAUUUUUGAUAGCACCAAAAUGUUCGUCUCCUCGAGACAAAACUCCAGCAUCAAAUCGCGUCAAAAACGAACGUCGGACGCUCCCCCACGCUCUGCCUGAAGAUCGGCGGGUGAGAUCUACUCUCAGGCGCGCAACUCAUGCGCCUGCACGCGCCCAAAGUUGAGGAAGAAAACUGUGUCUCAUCGCCUGCGUCAUCACUAUGUCAUGAUUACAUUAGCAAAAGAAUAUUCCUAGAAUAUUCUCUAGUAAAUUAUAGUUUUUGUCCCUGAAGUUUCUAUAAUUUAUAUUUCAGUCCCUAAAGUUUUAAAAAUUACAAUUUGACUCCUAAAAUUUUUAAAAAUUACAGUUUAGUCUCUAUAAUUUCUAAAAAUUGUAUUUUGGUCCCUGGAAUUACCAAAAAUUACAGUUUAGUCCCUGCAGUUUUUGAAUUUUGACAAAUUGGUCCCUAGGAUUUCUGAUUUUGACAAAUUGGCCUCACAAGUUUCUGAUUUUUUCAGUUUAGCCCAUUUUUAAGUUUUUCCUGCAUUCCGCACUCAUUUGUGUGGUCAAAAUUUGCAUACUUUGACUCUGUAUAUCAGUUUGGGUGGAGUAAAGUGUUUAGAUGGAAGAAUAUAAAACCACUAGCACUUUCGGUAGCUCUGGGCAUAGGACUAUGGUGUCUAAAGCCAAUUUUGAAAUGAAAAAAUUUAACGGGACAAAUAACUUCGGCAUGUGGUAAUGGGAAUUUUUGGAUGUCCUAAUUUAACAAGACUUGGAUCACUUUGGAGAACGCUCACUAGGAGGAAUCUCAAGUUUUGGCUAUUGCAUCUGUGGAAGGCACUCAGAAUAUGAAUCUUAAUUCUGUCUAUAGCAUUUGUGCAGAAGGCUUUUUAAGUAGAAAUCUCAUGUGUAAGAAGGCUCUUAGAAAAGGGAUCUCAUUUUGGCUAUAGUAGUUUAAGAAAGUUUUCUGAGUAGAGAUCUCAUCUGGCACUAGCAUCUGUGAAAAAAGAUCCCAGUUUGGUAUCUCAAUCUAUUUGGAUUACUUUGGAGAACACUCAUUGAGGAGGAAUCUCAAUUUAUGGCUAUUGCAUCUACAAGAAAGCUCAGAAUAUGGAUCUUAAAUCUGUUUAUAGCAUUUGUGGAGAAGGCUUUCUGAGUAGGGAUCUCAUGGGUGAGAAGACUCUCAGAAAAGGGAUCUCAUUUUGGCUAUAGUAGUUUAAGAAAGUUUUCUGAGCAUGGAUCUCAUCUGGCACUAGCAUCUGUGGGGAAGGCUCAUUAGUUUGGUAUAUCAGUUUGUUAUGGAUCACCUGGUGUUUUAGUUCGAUAUGUCUCGAACAAUUGUGAUUCAUCAGUUUGAUAUCUCAGUUUGUUAUGGAUCACUUGGUUUUACUUCUAUAUGUCUCGAACAGUUGUGAUUCGUCAGUUUGGUAUCUCAGUUUGUUUUGGAUCACCUGAUUUUUGGUUCAGUAUGUCUCGAACAAUUGUGAUUCAUCAGUUUGAUAUCUCAGUUUAUUAUGGAUCACCUGGUUUUAGUUCGAUAUAUCUCGAAUAGUUGUGAUUCAUUAGUUUGGUAUCUUAGUUUGUUUGAAUCACCUGAUUUUGGUUCGAUAUGCCUCGAACAGUUGUGAUUCGUCAAUUUGUUUGGAUCACCUGGUUUUGGUUCGAUAUGUCUCGAACAAUUGUGAUUCAACAAUAUGGUAUCUCAGUUUGUUUGGAUCAUCUGUUUUUUGGUUCGAUAUGUCUCGAACAAUUGUGAUUCAUUGAAGUCAGAAGAUCUCGGCAAAGUGGAACUACACAAGUGUCGAGAAGAUUGUGACUUUGGCGCCUAAAGGUGCAAAUGGAGGUAGCAUCUUUCUAGAAGAAGUUUACCAAAGUGGAGAUUGCUAUUUGAGAGAAAUUUCUCUCAAGGUGGAGAUUGUUGUUUGAGAGAAGUUCGCCAAGGUGGAGAUUAUUGAUAUUUGGCUUACUUCUCUAGCCCAAAUGGGCCCAAGCCCAAUACGAAGAAAUUAGUCCAUUUGAAGUCCAGCCCAAGAUGUUGAAGUCCAUCCCAUUUGUGAAGGCCCAAGCCCAACGUGGGGAUCCAUCCUAAUUGAAGCUUGAAGCCCAGGCCCAAUGGGAGUCCAACACUAUUGGGCCCAAGCCCAAGCCCAAACUCAAUGCUAUAUUUGAUGAUUUCUCCUGUCUAUGAAUGAAGGUCUUCGUUUGCUGCUGCAGCCAAUUUUGAAGUCUGCAAUGCUGUGUCUUCUUUAGCUGCUGCAAGUCUACCUCCAUUGUCAAGAAUGGAGGCUCCACCUUCUCUAUAUAAGGCUGUGUCCUAGAAUAGAGAAGGGAAGUGGGUCACAGAGAUGUAAGGAACUAGGGGCUGUGUAGCUCUCUGUGAGAGGUGUGAGCGAGAGAUUUAGCUGAGAGAUUGAGAGCUCUCUCCUUUGUUAUUCCUCUCUCUCUAUUUUCUGUAUUUUCUCUUGUAGUAUAUGAGAUAAAUCUGAGAGUGAGAGUGAAACUUUGUAUCUGUAUUUGUAUCUCUCCAUACAGUAAAAUCGCUGCCACCCGAGGACGUAGGCAGUAUUGCCGAACCUCAUAAAUCUGUGUGUUUAUAUUAUGUGGUUGUGGAUCUGUUAAUGUGGGUGAUUUGUGUAUGCUAUAGGUGGUUGAUUUCGGCACAACACACCGUUCACGUCGUACACUCUGAAAGCCUUUGCAAGAUCGUUCUCCAAGUUUUCACCCUCUUUACUUUGAUCACAAAAGUUUUGCUUAAUGACGGUGUCAUAAAAGAACAAAAAGUCAAGAAUAUUGAGGUUUGUUUUGCCCGCUAGUGACUCGAGCUCGUCUAGGCUAGUCUGAAUCCCAAUUUUUUCAAGAAGCCAUUUGAGCUCAUCGAGACUCACGAAACCAUCACCAUUUUGGUCGAGCUUAUUGAAAAUUCGAUGCAAGUCAUUGUUGUUAAAAAGAGACAUUGGUGGUGAACAGAUAUAAAAGAACACAAACAAUGACUAAUUAUUGGCUGUUGUACCUGCACACAUUCUACUUGG
rnacentral:lncRNA from 1 species